GAUGAACGCUGGCGGCGUGCUUAACACAUGCAAGUCGAACGGAAAGGCCCUUCUUUUGUGGGGUGCUCGAGUGGCGAACGGGUGAGUAACACGUGAGUAACCUGCCCUUGACUUUGGGAUAACUUCAGGAAACUGGGGCUAAUACCGGAUAGGAGCUCCUGUUGCAUGGUGGGGGUGGGAAAUUUUCGGCGGGUGGGGAUGGACUCGCGGCUUAUCAGUUUGUUGGUGGGGUAGUGGCUUACCAAGGCUUUGACGGGUAGCCGGCCGGUGAGGGUGACCGGCGACAUUGGGACUAAGGUACGGCCCAGACUCGUACGGGAGGCAGUGGUGGGGAAUCUGGUACAAUGGGCGGACGCCUGUUGAGGAAACGCCGGGGGCGGAAUGACGGCUUUCGGGUUGAAAACCGCUUUCGCCUGUGACGAAGCGUGUGUGACGGUAAUGGGAGAAGAAGCACCGGCUAACUACGUG
rnacentral:rRNA from 1 species